ACCUUAGUAAUCUGUGAGCACUUGGUGAUCUUGCAUGGCGGACACGAGGUGCCAGGCAGAAUGGUGUGAUGUCACCCUAGUCAAAGCCCACUUUUUCCUGUUGUUCGGUGCUGGUUGUCUCUGUGUGAACAGAGCCCCUGGAGGCUUCUGAUGUGGGAGAAGUUCUCAGGUAUGACUAUCUGCCACCCAAGACAAGGAGCCAUGCAUGUGAGACAGGACCUCGAGGUGCAAGGGAGUCUGGCAAGAAGCUGACGGGCCCAGGUUCCUGCCACUGCUUUUUGGAUCACUGAGGAUGGCACCCUUCUCUUACCACAAGAUGUUUCAUGAUUUAGGGUUUCCUGGGACUGCCUGAAUAGUUGUAUGUAUGGAAGGACCAUUCUGCAGAGAAGCCUUAGGGCUCUGAAUUCCCCUGGCUGUUGGAAAGACUCACAGGUCACUGGCUCCUCCUGAGACUGGCCCUACCUGCCCUUCUGAGGAGAAGUUGCCAGGUAUGACUGUCACUUAGAAGAAUCCCUGCCUACGAUUCUAUGAAUGAAGGUGCAAGAGAGUCCUAUGAGAAGUGUUGCAGGAACAGCUUGCAGUUUCUGUUUUUUGGAUCACUAAGGAUGCCAGAUUGAGUUGCCCAGGAUGGAAGACCAUUGUCAGCAGGGAACCCAUCACAUAUUCCAUGAAUCCCAGCCUGGUGAGACAAGGAGCAUGAGCCCCCUGGGGCCAUUGGGCAUGCAGCCCUUGGGCGUACAGAUGGAAUACCCAUGGAGCCAGGUUGAGUGGCCCAAGAUGGAAGACUGUUGGCAACAGGUUACCUGUUCUGUAUUCCAUGACACCCAGCCCCUCGAGAUGAGUCUCACGAAUCCCCAGAGGCAACUGGACAAGUGGCCCUUGAAUGUACAGAUGGAACAACCAUGGUGCCAGUGGCCUUGAGUGACCUGGGAUGGAAGACUAUUUGCAACAGAGAACCCAUCACAUAUUCCAUGACAACUGUCCUGGCAAGAUGAGGCAUGCAAGCCCCCAGGGACUUCUGGAAAUUGGCCCUUCGAUGUACAGGUGGAUCACCCAUGGCGGCAGAUUGAGUGGCCCAGGAUGGAAGACCAUUGGCACCAGGGGACGCGUUACAUAUUCCAUGACUCCCAGCCUGGAAAGUUGAGGCCUACGAGCCACCACAGGCCACUGGACACACGGCUGUAGUGGUCCAGGUGGAGCACCAAUGGCUACUGGAAGUGAUGUUAGAGAGAAGGGAUAUUUUGCUGCUUGGAAUUCUACUGCCACCCCAAAUAAGUGCUGUUUUCGUCACUUGUACAAGCUCCUUUCUCUGGGAAAAUUCACAGCAAUGCUUUCUAGAGACUGACAUGUUCCACAAACUAGGUUUCAUAUGGAUUAGCUUAUUCCUUCCCCUUGAGAUGAGACAUGAAGAAAAGUAUUGGGAAUAAUUCUGCCUCCAUCCUCAAAGGCCUGUGUGAAUUCUCACAAAGAAGGUGACUUCCUGGGAUGAAUGAUACCAGUAAACGCCUGAAGGAAGACUCUUCAGACAGAGCCCUUUUGCCUCCCUCUUGUCUGAGGGCUGCCCUCCGAAGGUGAUGACCACAGAGACAAGGUGGAUUUGUUACUGUAGGUGCCAUUACUUCUGCCACCAGCUUCUCCAAUACAGUGACACAGUCUUCUUUGUGCUUGGAAACUCUUCUCUUUCCUAUGUUGCAGUGGAUACCUCCUGCAGAUAAGAAAUGGUUAACUGAGAAAUGCUCAUGUUGGGAUAUCAUCGAUGAGACUUUAAUUUGGGCAUGGUGACUGUUUCCCUUGCUUCCACUUGACUCAAUCCCAGGAGCCUCAGUAGAGGAAAUUAUAUUGCACAAGAAACUCAAAGUGAUGGAAUUGCUCAGUAUUCCCAUAAAUAUACAUUUAUGAUUUUCAUUUGCCAUGUAGUAAAUUUAAAAAAUAAGAUCUAUUAAUUUUUUUUCAAAAAUUCAAAGCAUAUUUAAACAUCUAAUAUAUAAAUUAAGUGCCCUUUUCUCUCCUAAUCCUAUCUCCAAGUUUUCCUCUAUUAAGGGAGUUGUGUGCCUUCUUUAAGCAGAUAGAUGCGCACACACAGACACAAGAUAUUUUAGGGGGUUCUGGAAGUAGAGCUAUAUUGUACAUAUUAUUCUGCAAAUUUGCUUUCAUUUAACAGUUUUUUCAAUGCCCUUUUUUUCUGUUUCAGUAAUACAUAUCUGUGUCAUCUGUUGAAUGACUGCAUGAUUGUUUUGUACAUGAAAUAUAAUUGAAUGUUUCAAACAUUUCUUAUUCAUAGAUAUUUAUGUUAGUACCAAAUUUCUGUGCAAUGAACCUCCCUAUAUAUCAAUAAUUUGCAUUUGUCUAUUAUAUCAUAAUAAAUUACUUAACAGUUAAAAUACUGGGA